CACUUAAGAAAGCAAGUUCCACAGGGCAAGGAGUCUGCUGUCUCUGCUGGUCCUUACUGCCACAGUGCCUGAUAUACAGCAGAGGAUUAAUGAUUUUUGUUGAAUGAAUCAGUAAAGAUGCAGCCUGGGAAGCUGGUGCAAAGCAGAUUGCCUUUCAUUUGAGUUGUGAAAGUCAGGUCACCAUGAGCAAUCCUGGUAGUUAAACAUGGACUUGUGUAGAGCGAAUGGCAGCAAGUGGCUGUUCAGAAAGAAUCAGCUCACCACAACAUCCUGCAUGCUCAGUGGGGACUGUCUCCUCUGUGUUUACAACUCAAUCAUAGUCAGUGUUAACCUGAGUUUCACAGACAACAAGGGAAACCACCAACUGCAGUGUUUUUCCCAGGAGCAAAGAGCCAUUGUGGUAGCAGAGAGUUUAACCAACCCAAAGUUAAAGGUGAAAUUGCAGACUUUUAAAACCAGAAGCAUUUGGAGCACAUAGGAAUUGGCUCUCUUCCAUCACCACUGCCAGCGUCUUGGUGGAGGAUGGGAUUGAAACCAGCCAUUUCUGAAGCACUUCGCAUAAUUACUUCCUUUGAUCUUCACAACAAACUGCAUUUAAAACUACCUGCCUUUAAGUGCUUAAAUAACUCACCAAAGAUAAAAUAAAAUUGUAAGGAUGGCUCCACUUGCGUUUCCUGAUACCAGAUCUUGUAUUUUCAAAACUAAAUAAAGGGAAUAUCCAACAAGAAGAGUCUUAGAUUGGGAGAAGUGAAUGUGGUCCACGGCAAGGGGACAUCACAGAGGAGCUCAUAGGAAGCAACACUCAGCAGAUCGGCCACUAGAGUAUUGACAGCAGGUACCAAGGAUAAAGCAUC